rnacentral:rRNA from 1 species
GACCUGAGAGGGUGAUCGGCCACACUGGAACUGAGACACGGUCCAGACUCCUACGGGAGGCAGCAGUAGGGAAUCUUCCGCAAUGGGCGAAAGCCUGACGGAGCAACGCCGCGUGAGUGAUGAAGGUCUUCGGAUCGUAAAACUCUGUUAUUAGGGAAGAACAUAUGUGUAAGUAACUGUGCACAUCUUGACGGUACCUAAUCAGAAAGCCACGGCUAACUACGUGCCAGCAGCCGCGGUAAUACGUAGGUGGCAAGCGUUUUCCGGAAUUAUUGGGCGUAAAGCGCGCGUAGGCGGUUUUUUAAGUCUGAUGUGAAAGCCCACGGCUCAACCGUGGAGGGUCAUUGGAAACUGGAAAACUUGAGUGCAGAAGAGGAAAGUGGAAUUCCAUGUGUAGCGGUGAAAUGCGCAAGAUAUGGAGGAACACCAGUGGCGAAGGCGACUUUCUGGUCUGAAACUGACGCUGAUGUGCGAAAGCGUGGGGAUCAAACAGGAUUAGAUACCCUGGUAGUCCACGCCGUAAACGAUGAGUGCUAAGUGUUAGGGGGUUUCCGCCCCUUAGUGCUGCAGCUAACGCAUUAAGCACUCCGCCUGGGGAGUACGACCGCAAGGUUGAAACUCAAAGGAAUUGACGGGGACCCGCACAAGCGGUGGA